rnacentral:piRNA from 1 species
UAGUUGGCUUAAAAGCAGCCACC